GUUCUCUUCCAAAGAAGCUGGUCCUUAGCCUGUAUUGCGGAGCAAGCUUUCGGCGACCAGCUGGACCCUGGGCACCCUUCUUCGAACAAUGGCUUUUAAUUCUCAGACUAGAACGUUUAGGAUUACAAAAGAAACUGGUUCUUUUCACCUCCUUAUUCUUGUGAUGUAGCAUUCCGCAUAUAUAUAUAUAUAUAUCCAACUAUCCUAAAAGACACUGCCCUUCAUCAUUCCAUGCCGUUAGACAUUUAUAGGACCAUGCAUGGUGAUCUCCUCCAGACAAAAGUAAAUGCUGGUGCAGAACAGGAUUUCCUUUUUAUCACUGGUUUUGAUGGAUUUGAUUAAGAUGUUCCUUGGUGAAGUUUUCUUCAUGUUUCUUGUUCUUAGAAUAAUCAUAUUUCUGUAAUAUUUGAAGUUUAUGGUUUCCAUGGAGCUUCUAAAUCUUUCAUCCAGUAUGUUUUAAAUAUCUUUGUCUCUCUUCUCCACUACACGCCCUUCAGGGAUUCCAUUUAGCCCU
rnacentral:lncRNA from 1 species